rnacentral:rRNA from 1 species
CCUACGGGUGGCAGCAGUGAGGAAUAUUGGGCAAUGGAGGGAACUCUGAACCAGCCAAGCAGCGUGCAGGAAGACGGCUCUAUGAGUUGUAAACUGCUUUUGUACGGGGGUAAACCGAAAUAAGUGUAGUCAGCUGAAAGUACUGUAUGAAUAAGGACCGGCUAAUUCCGUGCCAGCAGCCGCGGUAAUACGGAGGGUCCAGGCGUUAUCCGGAUUUAUUGGGUUUAAAGGGUGCGGAGGCGGCUUCUUAAGUUAGAUGUGAAAUGCCGGGGCUGAACCGGGGAACUGCCGCGAAUACUGUGGGUCUAGAGUGCAGGUGAGGUAGGCGGAAUGUAUGGUGUAGCGGUGAAAUGCUUAGAUAUCAUGAAGAACACCGAUUGCGAAGGCAGCUUACCGUACUGUUACUGACGUUGAGGCUCGAAAGCGUGGGGAGCGAACAGGAUUAGAUACCCUUGUAGUC